CUUUAAGGGUCCUGAAGGAACGUUGAAGACGACGACGUUGAUAGGCCGGGUGUGUAAGCGCAGCGAUGCGUUGAGCUAACCUGUACUAAUGAACCGUGAGGCUUAACCUU
rnacentral:rRNA from 1 species